UACGGAGGGUGCAAACGUUGCUCGGAAUCAUUGGGCGUAAAGCGUGUGUAGGCGGCCUGUUAAGUCGGGUGUGAAAGCCCCGGGCUCAACCCGGGAAGUGCAUUCGAUACUGGAUGGCUUGAGUUUGGGAGAGGGAUGCGGAAUUCCAGGUGUAGCGGUGAAAUGCGUAGAUAUCUGGAGGAACACCGGUGGCGAAGGCGGCAUCCUGGACCAACACUGACGCUGAGUGAGCGAAAGCCAGGGGAGCAAACGGG
rnacentral:rRNA from 1 species